rnacentral:rRNA from 1 species
GACGAACGCUGGCGGCGUGCUUUAUACAUGCAAGUCGAACGAUGAAGUUCCUUCGGGAAUGGAUUAGUGGCGAACGGGUGAGGAACACGUGAGAAACCUGCCUUUCAUUCUGGGAUAACACCGGGAAACCGGUGCUAAUACCGGAUACUCCAUCUUGGCGGCAUCGCCGAGCUGGGAAAAAUUUUGAUGAAAGAUGGUCUCGCGGCCUAUCAGCUAGUUGGUGAGGUAAAGGCUCACCAAGGCGACGACG